ACCUGGCUGGCUCAGUCAGUAGAGCAUGUGACUCUUGAUCUCAGGGUUGUGGGUUCAAGCCCCACAUUGGGUA
rfam:Mustela putorius furo unplaced genomic scaffold scaffold00031, whole genome shotgun sequence.